rfam:Danio rerio chromosome 14 genomic contig CTG1748, GRCz11 reference primary assembly.
GCCGGCAGCUAGCUCUCUGCAACUCUCAAAUGGUCGCCCACUGAAGCUAAUCAGGGCUGCACCUGGUAAGUACCUUGAUGGUAGACCACACGGGAAAUCUAGGUUGCUGCAGGAA